rnacentral:rRNA from 1 species
GAUGAACGCUGGCGGCGUGCCUAAUACAUGCAAGUCGAGCGAACAGAUAAGGAGCUUGCUCCUUUGACGUUAGCGGCGGACGGGUGAGUAACACGUGGAUAACCUACCUAUAAGACUGGGAUAACUUCGGGAAACCGGAGCUAAUACCGGAUAACAUAUUGAACCGCAUGGUUCAAUAGUGAAAGGCGGCUUUGCUGUCACUUAUAGAUGGAUCCGCGCCGUAUUAGCUAGUUGGUAAGGUAACGGCUUACCAAGGCAACGAUACGUAGCCGACCUGAGAGGGUGAUCGGCCACACUGGAACUGAGACACGGUCCAGACUCCUACGGGAGGCAGCAGUAGGGAAUCUUCCGCAAUGGGCGAAAGCCUGACGGAGCAACGCCGCGUGAGUGAUGAAGGUCUUCGGAUCGUAAAACUCUGUUAUCAGGGAAGAACAAAUGUGUAAGUAACUGUGCACAUCUUGACGGUACCUGAUCAGAAAGCCACGGUUAACUACGUG